GACGAACGCUGGCGGCGUGCUUAACACAUGCAAGUCGAACGGAAAGGCCCUGCUUUUGUGGGGUGCUCAAGUGGCGACCGGGUGCGUAACACGUGAGUAACCUGCCCUUGCCUUUGGGAUAACUUCAGGAAACUGGGGCUAAUACCGGAUAGGAGCUCCUGCUGCAUGGUGGGGGUUGGAAAGUUUCGGCGGUUGGGGAUGGACUCGCGGCUUAUCAGCUUGUUGGUGGGGUAGUGGCUUACCAAGGCUUUGACGGGUAGCCGGCCUGCGUGGGUGAACGGCCACAUUGGGACUGAGAUACGGCCCAGACUCCUACGGGAGGGAGCAGGGGGGAAUAUUGCACAAUGGGCGGAAGCCUGAUGCAGCAACGCCGCGUGCGGGAUGACGGCCUUCGGGUGGUAGACCGCUUUCGCCGGUGACGAAGCGUGAGUGACGGGAAUGGGGAAAGAAGCACCGGCUAACUACGUG
rnacentral:rRNA from 1 species